CUACGGGAUGCAGCAGUGGGGAAUAUUGGACAAUGGACCAAAAGUCUGAUCCAGCAAUUCUGUGUGCACGAUGAAGGUUUUAGGAUCGUAAAGUGCUUUCAACAGGGAAGAAGUUCUGACGGUACCUGUAGAAGAAGUGACGGCUAAAUACGUGCCAGCAGCCGCGGUAAUACGUAUGUCACAAGCGUUAUCCGGAUUUAUUGGGCAUAAAGGGCAUCUAGGCGGCUUAGCAAGUCUGAUGUGAAAAUGCGGGGCUCAACCCCGUAUUGCGUUGGAAACUACUAAGCUAGAGUAUUGGAGAGGUAGGCGGAACUACAUGUGUAGAGGUGAAAUUCGUAGAUAUAUGUAGGAAUGCCGAUGACGAAGGUAGCUUACUGGACAAUUACUGACGCUGAAGUGCGAAAGCUAGGGGAGCGAACAGGAUUAGAUACCCGGGUAGUC
rnacentral:rRNA from 1 species